rnacentral:rRNA from 1 species
GACGAACGCUGGCGGCGUGCUUAACACAUGCAAGUCGAACGGAAAGGCCCUGCUUUUGUGGGGUGCUCGAGUGGCGAACGGGUGAGUAACACGUGAGUAACCUGCCCUUGUCUUUGGGAUAACUUCAGGAAACUGGGGCUAAUACCGGAUAGGAGCUCCUGCGGCAUGGUGGGGGUUGGAAAGUUUCGGCGGUUGGGGAUGGACUCGCGGCUUAUCAGCUUGUUGGUGGGGUAGUGGCUUACCCAGGCUUUGACGGGUAGCCGGCCUGAGAGGGUGACCGGCCACAUUGGGACUGAGAUACGGCCCAGACUCCUACAGGAGGCAGCAGUGGGAAAUAUUGCACAAUGGGCGGGAGCCUGAUGCAGCAACGCCGCGUGCGGGAUGACGGCCUUCGGGUUAUAAACCGCUUUCGCCUGUGACGAAGCGUGAGUGACGGUAAUGAGUAAAGAAGCACCGGCUAACUACGUG